AGCACAGGGUAGCAAUACCUGGGUGGCGACCGGCAAACGGGUGCGGAACACGUACAGAACCUUCCUUCGAGCGGGGAAUAGCCCAGAGAAAUUUGGAUUAAUACCCCAUAGCAUAACGGAGUGGCAUCACUUUGUUAUUAAAGAUUUAUCACUUGAAGAUGGCUGUGCGUAUGAUUAGGUAGUUGGCGGGGUAACGGCCCACCAAGCCUGCGAUCAUUAACUGGUGUGAGAGCACGACCAGUCACACGGGCACUGAGACACGGGCCCGACUCCUACGGGAGGCAGCAGUAAGGAAUAUUGGUCAAUGGACGCAAGUCUGAACCAGCCAUGCCGCGUGGAGGAUGAAGGUCCUCUGGAUUGUAAACUUCUUUUAUCUGGGACGAAAAAAGGGAAUUCUUUCUCGUCUGACGGUACCAGAUGAAUAAGCACCGGCUAACUCCGUGCCAGCAGCCGCGGUAAUACGGAGGGUGCAAGCGUUAUCCGGAUUCACUGGGUUUAAAGGGUGCGUAGGCGGGUAUGUAAGUCCGUGGUGAAAUCUCCGAGCUUAACUCGGAAACUGCCAUGGGUACUGUGUAUCUUGAAUGUUGUGGAGGUGAGCGGAAUAUGUCAUGUAGCGGUGAAAUGCUUAGAUAUGACAUAGAACACCAAUUGCGAAGGCAGCUCACUACACAAAUAUUGACGCUGAGGCACGAAAGCGUGGGGAUCAAACAGGAUUAGAUACCCUGGUAGUCCACGCCCUA
rnacentral:rRNA from 1 species